rnacentral:lncRNA from 1 species
AUGGUUCAUCAGAGGCUUGUCCUGUCCCAGCUGUUUUAUUCUUUCCCAAAGCCUUCAAGUCCCCUUCCUUCUAAGUGCCACUCAGGGAACGUUCUGCGUUUGGGAAAGCAAAGGAGUGUAUAUCCUCACUCCAAAGCCUUUCGAUAUUUCCAUUUAUUUAUAACAGAUUUAUUGCACAUCUACCAUUUGCCGGACACCGUGGGACUCUGGAGACUUACUAAUUUAAAAGGGAGUGGAACGCUCUGUCCCAAGGCUGCGCAUGGUCCAGUCAAAAAGACCUGUCGGAAGAAUGGAAGGCAUUUCCUGGCACCUGGGCUGACUUUCCAUCUCUCCCUUCCCUACUGAUAAUGGUAGCUGCCAUGAUGGGGCCAUACCUUGUGUAUAGAUUGCCUGUAAUUCUCAUAAACCUUGCAAAGUAUUACUGUCAUAGAAGUGAAGAGACUGCCAGGUUAAAUUCAGUGCUAAGCAUGUAAAUGUUUACAAGUGGUCAUUGAUUAUUGAAUCUAUACCAUUAAUAAAAUAUUGUGCUAGUAGCUUUACA